AGCUCCAAUAGCGUAUAUUAAAGUUGUUGCGGUUAAAAAGCUCGUAGUUGGAUCUCGGCAGGUAGGGGGCGGUUCGUUUCUGGCGGUACUGCCCCCUUUAUCUGCGUUUUUGCGAGAGGUCUCACGGCGGCCUUCAUCGGCUGUCUUGGAACGCUUGCAGCUUUACUUUGAAAAAAUUAGAGUGCUCAAAGCAGGCUACAAAGCUUGAAUAUUUGUGCAUGGAAUAAUGGAAUAGGAAGUCGUUUCUAUUUUUUUGGUUUUCGGAAAUUGACUUAAUGAUUAAUAGGGACAGCCGGGGGCAUUAGUACUCAGACGACAGAGGUGAAAUUCUUGGACCGUUUGAAGACUAACUACUGCGAAAGCAUUUGCCAAGAGUGUUUUCA
rnacentral:rRNA from 1 species